rnacentral:lncRNA from 1 species
UCUGAAAAAAAAAGAGAACGAAAUGAUUGUUCCUGUUCUCCUUCUUAAGUCAUUUGAAACAUUGUCCCUGCUAGUUUUCUAAGUUUACUGCAAUCUCUGCACGGGGGGAGGGAGACAGCGGGAGAGACAGAUAUUACAAAUAUCAGAGCAGGUAGUGUUUAGGGCAAGACUCCUUCCAGCUUCAACAACUGGUUUUUCCAUAAGAAGGAAUGAUCUACCACAAAUUCAGCCCAGUUUCUGGGACUGGUCCUGUGAUGCCUGUAGCUGUGGCCAGUGGAAUAAGCCCAUAUGCUCAGUGAAAGCAGUCAAAGGUUAGUAGCCCAAGGAAAAUAUUUCUUUCUAGUAAAUUCAGUGGGUUCUACAACUGUGUUCCAGAAAAAGUGAAACUUUGCACAAAACUGUGUGUGGAA